CCUACGGGAGGCAGCAGUGAGGGAUAUUGCNCAAUGGGCGAAAGCUGUACGCAGCAACGCCGCGUGGGCGAUGAAGGCCUUCGGGUUGUAAAGCCCUUUUCUGGGGGAAGAGGAAGGACGGUACCCCAGGAAUAA
rnacentral:rRNA from 1 species